rnacentral:rRNA from 1 species
CCAGUGAUUCAUUCAACGGCCGCGGUAUCCUAACCGUGCAAAGGUAGCGUAAUCACUUGUUUUCCAAAUAAAGACCAGUAUGAAAGGCAUCACGAGAACUAAACUGUCUCCUUUCUCUAAUCAGUGAACCUAAUCUCCCCGUGAAGAAGCGGGGAUCCCACUAUAAGACGAGAAGACCCUGUGGAGCUUAAAACAUUAAAACAGUGCCCCCCCCCCCCCGGCACCCUGAUUACAUGUUUUUGGUUGGGGUGACCGCGGAGAAAAACCCAUCCUCCGUAAUGAAAGGGGACUUCCCCUAAGCAACAAGCUACAACUUUAUUCAUCAAAAAAU